rnacentral:rRNA from 1 species
UACGUAGGGUCCGAGCGUUGUCCGGAGUUACUGGGCGUAAAGCGCGCGCAGGCGGCGGUGUUGGCCCGGCGUGAAAGCCCCCGGCUCAACCGGGGAGAGUCGUCGGGGACCGCACCGCUUGAGGGCGGUAGGGGCUGGUGGAAUGCCUGGUGUAGUGGUGAAAUGCGUAGAGACCAGGCAGAACACCUGGGGCGAAGGCGGCCAGCUGGGCCGUCCCUGACGCUGAGGCGCGAAGGCGUGGGGAGCGAACGGG